CCAACCUUCUGCCCAGAGUUCUCUACAUUACAGACUUCAACAUACCACAGAGGGGCCUAUAUGACCACAACCAGUACCGGAGUCUCAGAUUGACCUGUGUUUGACUUUUCUACACACGUGUAUACCUGGUGUGCUUUGAUAUGUGAAGGAUGACAUAAACUUUCACGAACCUUGAGUUAUGGGCUUGGACACCUUUUAACCAGGAUGUGGUGUGACUUAUAAUUACAUAAAUUCUGCAGGUAACCAGUUUACAAUUUGACAGUGUUAUUUGUGGUUCAAGAAUAUGAAUACAUUACAUUGGUGUGUCGUGUCUGCUACAAGGAACAUUUGCACAGUUACAGACUGGAUGGGUAGCUCUUCAUCUACGAAACGGAUAUUGAAUUUGAUGGACCAUGUGUAUAUGAUGUAUGUCGUGCAUGCAAGUAAUGGAACUGAACUUGACUUCCAUAGAUUGAUUGACUUGCAUUUUUUAUUACAUUGUGGAAGAGUGAAUGUUGAGUCACUGUGACUAGUGCCUAUUUAACAGUAUUAUGUACAUUCAAUAAUUGCCGAUUCUUGUAAUACUAUAAAUUUGGAUAUUAUAUCUAUGGUAUGUAUAGUUUUUAGAUACUGGAGCUCGGUAUGAGUGUUAUUUAUGUCAAUUAACAAUAUACAGAGAAUUAGUGCAAAUUACCAAAGAUUACACAAUGAGGAUGAUUUAUUAUAUAUAAUUUGUCAUAGCAGGAUGGAGAUCCAGGUGGGUUGGCGGGAUCCUGGGGAUUCACACUCGAAGGCGAUCAUUGUUGACUUCAACCCAGUUCUAGGUUAGGUCUCAUCCAUGAUUUACCAUGGGGGGACAGGAAUUUCAGUCCACUCCCGAGAAACCGGGUGGGGCGCCCUAGCUACUUCACUGGUUUUAAUUACCAACGGGGAGUUUUUUGUCCACUGUGGAAAGGUUAUAUGUUAUAUAAUUUACCACAGGGACAGGAAAUAGAUACAUACAGUUUAUAUACAUGUUAUUGGAGACAAUGAAAAAAUUACGGUAUAAAUUAUUCUGGGUUGUUGUACGAUUGCUCCCACUCAAAAGCUACUUUGGGGGGAUGAGGCCAACCCGUGCUACCUGGGUGGCACUGAUGUGCCAUAUAUGUAUUGGAGAAUACAGGCGGUCAGUUUCUGAAUUCUUAGGAUCCUGCCAGACAUCGCAAUGGCCUAAUAUAUAGCAAUUUAUGUAAAUUUAUGGAUAUCUUAAUUGGGUAAGUGUAAAGGCGCUAGUCAUAGAUCAAUUUAGUUCAUUAAUAAAUAAUAGUUUAUCAGA